CACUUGCCAACUCCGCCCAUACAUGUUCGUCAUGAUCGAUCAAUUAAAUGAAAAUACUAACAACACCUCACUUAGUUCACAAUUUCUAUGAUUUUCAUUUGUAAAUGUAAAGGUAUGUUUAUUCUUGCUAAAGCAUUAUAUUUGCUAGGUAAUUUUCAUUCCUUCAGUGGAACUGCCUUCCUCAUAUUCUGUUUCACAAGAGGGUUUAGCUACUCGGAUAAUCAACCAUUAUCUUAGUCUUAUCGUCUUUAUGUUUCUCUUUCCUUAAUCGAGUCAAAAGCACAUGUUCCUAAUUACUUCUUUUAAUAGCAUUUACAUGAUAGGUCAGAGUACUCAAUGAUGGACUCAACUACGUGUAUAUUGGACAUUUGUGGUUCUAAGAGAUUGGGUCUAGAACUCCAAUGAAUUAUGAUAGUCUACAUCCCUCCAAGCAUGAGGCCUGCAAGGAAUAGAUGUUUUAGAAUAAUUUUUUUACCAUCUAUCAUUUUAUAUUUGGGUUAUAUAACAAUUUGUCAAAAUGACAAAUAUGCAUAGGACAUGUUUUGCCAAGGAAACCCUCUCAAUUCCUUACGUGUUGGAGUAGCUUCCUAUAUGCAACGUUUUAACUUCAAAUGUUGGUGUCCAUUGGCUUCGCACUUGUGGAGUUUACUUUUCCUCUAUAUAUGGCAAUUGUCUUAAUCAAAUUGUUCCAGUGUCUAUCUACAAGUGUUUGAAUUACUUUUAAAUUUCUUCGUUGUUUGAUAGCGAUUCUUCCACAACUCUUAUUUCCUAUCAAAUAUUAGUUUCUUCAUUUCUACUUGCUUUUUCAAUUCAAUUGGUAAUUAUUUGUGAGUUGUCCAGUGACGUGAAGGAAGUCACGAGCCCUCCUUCCAAUCUUGUUGAGCGUAGUCAUUCAAGGAAUGUUUUGCUCAUACCAAAAGGUAUAAUGGAAUAGUAAAAUGGAAACGGUUUGAAACCAAAUAUCUAUGGUUUUCAUUUACUAGUCCACCUAGUGAUUCUUCUUCGAGUGAUGACUCAACUUAUAUAUCCUUUCUCAAAAACAUUAAAAACUGAGACUUCCUUCUUCUGAUGUUGCUAUAAGAUUUAUUAGGAUCAUGAUGGAUUCAGACAAAACUUUGAUUGAUAGGUUGAUGGAGAAGAUAAAGAAUUUUCUUAUGACUUUAAGACUAAGGGAUCAAUAGAGAACUUUAGAAGUAACAAUUAGGUGUCAUCUAUUAGGAAUGGAAAUGAUUUCAUUUUAGAACCUUGUAGGGACAGGGAGAGCUUUUGUAUUUUUCUCCCUCGUGACUAUCGCCAAAGUGCACAUACAUUCCUAUGUAUUUGAAGAUAUAUACAUGUGUGCAUUAUUUUCACCCUUUUGAGUGUAACGUUUUGCGCAUUUUCAAUGUUGCCCUAUCUCAUACACCCUAAUAGUUGGACAUUUAUGAGAGCAUUUUAAAUUAUGUCUAUUGGUUUAAAUACCCAACCUACUAUUGGGGCUUUCUUCUAGUUUCACUAUAGUAAGGGUGGAGAUAAACGAACCUGGGUUUCCAAAAGUGGCAUCCCGAAAAAGUGUUUAUUUAGUACAUAUUGUUAUUCAUAUAAAAAUUUCAAACUUAUAUUCGAUCGAGUUCGAGGUAGUGACUCUUGUCCUGAGAUGUUUAUAGAUUCAACAAGUUGCUAAAAAAUUUCAUUGAACUAGGAGUGUAAACUCGUCUCUAUCAAAGGGUACAACUUCAAUAAACUAAUUGACUCAGAGAAUGAGUCUAUUGAGUUUCUUACCCAAUUAUUACUUCAUAUUAGUUGUAAGGAUUUUCUUGGUAACAAGUUCAACCUUUAUGGUCUACGAGAUCUGCUCUGUAAAUGUAAAUUAUUAAUUGUUUGAGGCUUCACUUAUUGGCAGCUAAUACCAUAAUGUAUUGUUUUUGCUAAUUUUGCAAGAAGGGUGUCUCAAUGAGCCAAGAGAAGUUUAAGAAUUAUUGAAGGAUGCCAUGAGGAAAGGAUUAGGGGUUCCUAGAGGCUCCAAAGGGAGAGGUAUUAUUACUCGCAAGACUAAAUAAAAGCAAUUUUCAAACGAGACGAAUGGGAUGUCACAAAUGUUACCCAUUCAAGUUUCCAAGCCUUCAAAGCUAACAAUUAAGGCUAAAAAUAUGCCUUUGAAGAAUACCUUGUUUUUUGGCUUAUUUACUGAAUUUUGAGGUCAAAGGGAUGUUAAAUCUUUGUCGGACCUAAGGUUCGAGGGGACCUUUUUUGCUAAGAAUAAUUUAAGUUUUCUACAAGACUGUCAAGGUGUAUGUAAGUUAGGCUUGCCCAAAGCAAGUUAAACUUUGGUUUUGUAUCACCUAUGUGCUACUUUCCUCGAACAAGAAAUGGAAGAAGAGUUUGUCGUUCAACAAGCCAUUGAGAAAAAGCUUAAGGAUGAACAUGUUGUAGAGAAGAAAAACUUCAAGGAUGUUGAAGAUCGCUUAACGGUUCGCAUGGAAUGCUUGGCCAAAUUGCAAGAAAUUGUUUCUCAAGUGAAAGGUAAGUUGGAAGAAGAGAAGAAGACGAGUAAACUGCAUGAGAAAUCUUUGAAAGAAGAAGUUGACUCAUCUCGAAGCCAAAUUCAAGAGUUAGAGAAUUAGAUUAAAUAGUUGAAUUAAGAAAUUGAAGUACUCAAAAUGGGUUUGCCUCUCCUACAUUAGUUUGAGUUUCGCAAAGAUGUUGAGGAAGUUCAAACCCUGUAUCUGGAUUUGAAUAUCUUCGAAGUGGAUCUGUUCAAAAUGUGGUUGAUGGGAUGUUGGUUACAAAAGGAUGUUAACUAAAAGGAAUUUCCAUUUUUAUUUUGUUGUAGUUGAUAACCUUACUCCUCUUUAUUAUUAAUCGCUUAGUGCUUUCAGUUCCCUUUUGUAAUCACUUUGGAGACAUCUAAGUUAUUAUCAUACUUUUCAUAAGCAUCUAAUUUUUACUUC
rnacentral:lncRNA from 1 species